rnacentral:rRNA from 1 species
UACAUGUGGGGCAAGCGUUGUUCGGAAUUACUGGGCAUAAAGGGUGCGUAGGCGGCUUGUUAAGUCAGGGGUGAAAGAUUUCGGCCCAACCGGAAAAUGGCCUUUGAUACUGGCGAGCUCGAGUGCGUGAGGGGUGACUGGAACGAGCAGUGUAGCGGUGAAAUGCGUAGAUAUUGCUCGGAAGGCCAACGGCGAAGGCAGGUCACUGGUACGCAACUGACGCUGAGGCACGAAAGCGUGGGGAGCAAACAGG